AUACGUAAUGUGAAUUGCAGAAUUCAGCGAACCAUCGAAUCUUUGAACGCACAUUGCGCCCGCCAGCAUUCUGGCGGGCAUGCCUGUCCGAGCGUCAUUUCCCCCCUCACGCGCCCCGUUGCGCGCUGGUGUUGGGGCGCCUCCGCCUGGCGGAGGCCCCCGAAAGCGAGUGGCGGGCCCUGUGGAUGGCUCCGAGCGCAGUACCGAACGCAACGUUCUCCCUCGCUCCGGACGCCCCCCAGGUGCCCUGCCGUGAAAACGCGCAUGACGUGCAACUCUUACCCCAAGGUU
rnacentral:misc_RNA from 1 species